AACGCUAGCUACAGGCUUAACACAUGCAAGUCGAGGGGCAGCAUGGUCUUAGCUUGCUAAGGCCGAUGGCGACCGGCGCACGGGUGAGUAACACGUAUCCAACCUGCCGUCUACUCUUGGACAGCCUUCUGAAAGGAAGAUUAAUACAAGAUGGCAUCAUGAGUCCGCAUGUUCACAUGAUUAAAGGUAUUCCGGUAGACGAUGGGGAUGCGUUCCAUUAGAUAGUAGGCGGGGUAACGGCCCACCUAGUCUUCGAUGGAUAGGGGUUCUGAGAGGAAGGUCCCCCACAUUGGAACUGAGACACGGUCCAAACUCCUACGGGAGGCAGCAGUGAGGAAUAUUGGUCAAUGGGCGAGAGCCUGAACCAGCCAAGUAGCGUGAAGGAUGACUGCCCUAUGGGUUGUAAACUUCUUUUAUAAAGGAAUAAAGUCGGGUAUGCAUACCCGUUUGCAUGUACUUUAUGAAUAAGGAUCGGCUAACUCCGUGCCAGCAGCCGCGGUAAUACGGAGGAUCCGAGCGUUAUCCGGAUUUAUUGGGUUUAAAGGGAGCGUAGAUGGAUGUUUAAGUCAGUUGUGAAAGUUUGCGGCUCAACCGUAAAAUUGCAGUUGAUACUGGAUAUCUUGAGUGCAGUUGAGGCAGGCGGAAUUCGUGGUGUAGCGGUGAAAUGCUUAGAUAUCACGAAGAACUCCGAUUGCGAAGGCAGCCUGCUAAGCUGCAACUGACAUUGAGGCUCGAAAGUGUGGGUAUCAAACAGGAUUAGAUACCCUGGUAGUCCACACGGUAAACGAUGAAUACUCGCUGUUUGCGAUAUACAGCAAGCGGCCAAGCGAAAGCGUUAAGUAUUCCACCUGGGGAGUACGCCGGCAACGGUGAAACUCAAAGGAAUUGACGGGGCCCGCACAAGCGGAGGAACAUGUGGUUUAAUUCGAUGAUACGCGAGGAACCUUACCCGGGCUUAAAUUGCAGAUGAAUUACGGUGAAAGCCGUAAGCCGCAAGGCAUCUGUGAAGGUGCUGCAUGGUUGUCGUCAGCUCGUGCCGUGAGGUGUCGGCUUAAGUGCCAUAACGAGCGCAACCCUUGUUGUCAGUUACUAACAGGUUCUGCUGAGGACUCUGACAAGACUGCCAUCGUAAGAUGUGAGGAAGGUGGGGAUGACGUCAAAUCAGCACGGCCCUUACGUCCGGGGCUACACACGUGUUACAAUGGGGGGUACAGAGGGCCGCUACCACGCGAGUGGAUGCCAAUCCCAAAAACCUCUCUCAGUUCGGACUGGAGUCUGCAACCCGACUCCACGAAGCUGGAUUCGCUAGUAAUCGCGCAUCAGCCACGGCGCGGUGAAUACGUUCCCGGGCCUUGUACACACCGCCCGUCAAGCCAUGGGAGCCGGGGGUAUCUGAAGUGCGUAACCGCGAGGAGCGCCCUAGGGUAAAACUGGUGACUGGGGCUA
rnacentral:rRNA from 1 species